rnacentral:rRNA from 1 species
GAAUUCGAUUAACGCGAAGAACCUUACCCAGGCUUGAACAGCGAGUGACCACUUCCGAAAGGGAGCUUCCGCAAGGACACUCGUAGAGGUGCUGCAUGGCUGUCGUCAGCUCGUGUCGUGAGAUGUUGGGUUAAGUCCCGCAACGAGCGCAACCCUUGUUUGCUGUUGCCAUCACGUUAUGGUGGGCACUCUGCAAAGACUGCCGGUGAUAAACCGGAGGAAGGUGGGGAUGACGUCAAGUCAGCAUGGCCUUUAUGUCUGGGGCUACACACGUGCUACAAUGGCCGGUACAAACCGUCGCGAUACCGCAAGGUGGAGCUAAUCGGAGAAAGCCGGUCUCAGUUCGGAUAGCAGGCUGCAACUCGCCUGCUUGAAGUUGGAAUCGCUAGUAAUCGCGGAUCAGCGCGCCGCGGUGAAUACGUUCCCGGGCCUUGUCACACCGAAUCACUA